GUCAUGGUGGCCGAGUGGUUAAGGCGUUGGACUCGAAAUCCAAUGGGGUCUCCCCGCACAGGUUCGAAUCCUGUCCAUGACG
rnacentral:tRNA from 1 species